GUGUCAGCCGCCGCGGUAAUACGUAGGGGGCUAGCGUUGUCCGGAAUCAUUGGGCGUAAAGAGCGUGUAGGCGGUCCGGUAAGUCCGUUGUGAAAGUCAGGGGCUCAACCCUUGAAUGCCGGCGGAUACUGUCGGGCUAGAGUCCGGAAGAGGCAAGUGGAAUUCCCGGUGUAGCGGUGAAAUGCGCAGAUAUCGGGAGGAACACCUAUGGCGAAGGCAGCUUGCUGGGACGGUACUGACGCUGAGACGCGAAAGCGUGGGGAGCAAACAGGAUUAGAAACCCCAGUAGUCC
rnacentral:rRNA from 1 species